rnacentral:rRNA from 1 species
CCCUUAGAUGUUCUGGGCCGCGCGCGCGCUACACUGAUGAAUUCAACGAGCUCCUAACCUAGGCCGAAGGGUCCGGGUAAUCUUUGAAAUUUCAUCGUGAUGGGGAUAGAUUAUUGCAAUUAUUAAUCUUCAACGAGGAAUUCCUAGUAAGCGCGAGUCAUCAGCUCGCGUUGAUUACGUCCCUGCCCUUUGUACACACCGCCCGUCGCUCCUACCGAUUGAAUGGUCCGGUGAAAUGUUCGGACCGCGACAAGGCGGACGGUUCGCUGUCAGCUUUGCUGCGGGAAGUUCAUUAAACCUUAUCAUUUAGAGGAAGGAGAAGUCGUAACA